CCUACGGGAGGCAGCAGUGAGGAAUAUUGGUCAAUGGUCGGGAGACUGAACCAGCCAAGCCGCGUGAGGGAUGAAGGUACAGCGUAUCGUAAACCUCUUUUGUCAGGGAACAAAGUCGGGGACGUGUCCCCGGCUGAGUGUACCUUAAGAACAAGCAUCGGCUAACUCCGUGCCAGCAGCGGCGGUAAUACGGAGGAUGCGAGCGUUAUCCGGAUUUAUUGGGUUUAAAGGGUGCGCGGGCGGUCUGUUAAGUCAGCGGUCAAAGCCCGGGGCGAAACCCCGGCCCGCCGUUGAAACUGGCAGUCUCGAGUGGGAGAGAAGUAUGCGGAAUGCGCGGUGUAGCGGUGAAAUGCAUAGAUAUCGCGCAGAACUCCGAUUGCGAAGGCAGCAUGCCGGCUCCACACUGACGCUGAGGCACGAAAGCGUGGGUAUCGAACAGGAUUAGAUACCCCAGUAGUC
rnacentral:rRNA from 1 species